UGGUGGGAAAACUCCCAACCGGCCCGCGCGUUUUUCCUUUCCCCUAAUCCUUUACCGAUAGUGAGACUCAGUUCUCUCUGUCGUCUCUCUGCCAUGUGCCGGUUGCGUACGCCGUCGAUUCAGCUGCUGUGCCCUCUCGACGCCGUUUUGAGAUCAAUGAAGGAGGCUUCCAAUUUUCAGAUGAAGAGGUAUACCUUUAGGUUUUGAGAUGAAGAAGGCAGCUUCCAUGAUGAUCAAGACUUGCUUAGGAAAUCCUUAUUACACAAUAAAGAUGAGGAGUACACAUGUAAACUUACAUUGGUCUAUUAAUGUGGGAUGUUGGGGUGAAUUUCAAAUA